AAAAACGUUGUGUUUUUCUUAGCCUUGGGAUACUGAAUCGAGCACGAAUUGGUGGUAGUUCGGUAAUAUGUGCGUGUGGGAUAGGAUAAGCAUUGAGGACUUCCCCUCUAGGUCAAAACGCCAGGGCNNNNNNNGAAAAUGGUAUUCGUCUUGUUUGGUUGUUUACCGUAUUUCAUUCUCACCUUACGUAUCAGCACACUAAUAUAGAGAAAUUAAAGCAAUUUGUGCUCGAUUCAGU
rnacentral:misc_RNA from 1 species